ANNCCUACGGGNGGCUGCAGUAGGGAAUCUUCCGCAAUGGGCGAAAGCCUGACGGAGCAAUGCCGCGUGAGUGAUGAAGGUUUUCGGAUCGUAAAGCUCUGUUGCCAGGGAAGAACGCUUGGGAGAGUAACUGCUCUCAAGGUGACGGUACCUGAGAAGAAAGCCCCGGCUAACUACGUGCCAGCAGCCGCGGUAAUACGUAGGGGGCAAGCGUUGUCCGGAAUUAUUGGGCGUAAAGCGCGCGCAGGCGGUCAUUUAAGUCUGGUGUUUAAUCCCGGGGCUCAACCCCGGAUCGCACUGGAAACUGGGUGACUUGAGUGCAGAAGAGGAGAGUGGAAUUCCACGUGUAGCGGUGAAAUGCGUAGAUAUGUGGAGGAACACCAGUGGCGAAGGCGACUCUCUGGGCUGUAACUGACGCUGAGGCGCGAAAGCGUGGGGAGCAAACAGGAUUAGAUACCCUAAGUAGUCA
rnacentral:rRNA from 1 species